rnacentral:rRNA from 1 species
AUUGAACGCUGGCGGCAGGCUUAACACAUGCAAGUCGAGCGAGCGGCGGACGGGUGAGUAAUGUCUGGGAAACUGCCUGAUGGAGGGGGAUAACUACUGGAAACGGUAGCUAAUACCGCAUCCCAUCAGAGGUGCCAAGAUGGGAUAAGCUAGGGGGUGGGGUAAAGGCUCACCUGGGGGACGAACACUAGCUGGUCUGAGAGGAUGACCAGCCACCCUGGAAUUGAGACACGGUCCAGACUCGUACGGAAGGCAGCAGUGGGGAAUUUUGCACAAUGGGCGCAAGCCUGAUGCAGCCAUGCCGCGUGUGUGAAGAAGGCCUUCGGGUUGUAAAGCACUUUCAGCGAGGAGGCGUUACUCGCAGAAGAAGCACCGGCUAACUCCGUGCCAGCAGCCGCGGUAAUAC